rnacentral:rRNA from 1 species
CCUACGGGAGGCAGCAGUAGGGAAUAUUGCUCAAUGGGGGAAACCCUGAAGCAGCAACGCCGCGUGGAGGAUGAAGGUUUUCGGAUUGUUAACUCCUUUUGUUAGAGAAGUCAAUUACGGUACCUAUCGACUUCUCACCGGCUAACUCCGUCCCAGCAGCCGCGGCUACACGGAGGGUGCAAGCGUUAUCCGGAAGUACGGGGCGUAAAGGGCGCGUAGGCGGGUUGGCAAGUCAGAUGUGAAAUCCUUUGGUUUAACCGUAGAACUGCAGUUGAAACUGUUAUUCUAGAGUAUGGGAGAGGUAGGUGGAAUUCAUGGUGUAGAGGUGAAAUCCGUAGAGAUCAAGAGGAAUACUCAUUGCGAAGGCGACCUGCUAGAACAUAACUGACGCUGAUGCGCGAAAGCGUGGGGAGCAAACAGGAUUAGAUACCCCAGUAGUC